rnacentral:rRNA from 1 species
UAGCCCAUCGCGGAACUGCAGGUCAUCUUGGCCUCGCGGAAUGUCGCGUUUGGGAGAGUCUUAUCGAGAGCUGGACGGCCAGUCAAAGUCCAACUUGACUGUGGCCACUGCCCAUAGAGGGUGAUAGGCCCGUAAGGCGGCUGUCUGUUCUCGCCGACUUUUCCCUAGAGUCGGGUUGCUUGGGAGUGCAGCCCAAAGUGUGAGGUAAACUCCUCAUAAGGCUAAAUAUUACGCAGAGACCGAUAGCAAACAAGUACCGUGAGGGAAGAUUGAAAAGAACUUUGAAGAGAGAGUUCAAUAGUACGUGAAACUGUGUGGUGGUAAACGGAGGGGUUCUCGAAGUUUCCGUGGGGAACUCAACCUUGGUGGCUGGUAGCCUUGUCGUACUUGAUCAGCAAUGACUUUGCGGCCUGCCCUGCCUUCCUCUCGGGUGCAUUUCCCCCAUGGUUUACGACAGGAACCGUUUGGCUCGGACCGAAGGGCUUGGGUGAAGUUGUAGGUUUUGCUUGCAGCCCCUUGUUCCUGGCUCCGCGCCAGACGGGUACGUGAGAGGACUCGUAUAGCGAGCAAUGCUCUGUUGCGGUUCUCAUCUCUCUGUCGAGUAGGUCGGUGGCCCCUCCGACCCGUCUUGAAACACGGACCAAGGAGUCUAACAUGUAUGCGAGCCAUUGGGUUGACUAAACCUAGANGCGUAGUGAAAGCAAAGAACAGCUUGUCUGUUUGAGGGACGAUCCGUUUGGCGCAGUCCCGUGUCUUCCAAUCGACCUCGCAUCGUUGGGAGAACACAGAGCAUAAAUGUUGGGACCCGAAAGAUGGUGAACUAUGCCUGGCCAGGUUGAAGUCAGGGGAAACCCUGAUGGAGGACCGUAGCG